rnacentral:rRNA from 1 species
GGUAAUUCUAGAGCUAAUACAUGCACAAAAGCCCGACUUCUUGGAAGGGUUGUAUUUAUUAGAUACAGAACCGAUCCGGCUUGCCGGUUGUUGGAUGAUUCAUAGUAAAUGAACGGAGCGUAUGCCUUUUGGCGACGCUGUGUCAUUCAAGUUUCUGACCUAUCAGCUAUCGACGGUAGGGUAUUGGCCUACCGUGGCAUUGACGGGUAACGGAGAAUUAGGGUUCGAUUCCGGAGAGGGAGCCCGAGAAACGGCUACCACAUCUAAGGAAGGCAGCAGGCGCGCAAAUUACCCAAUCCUGAUUUUUUGAGGUAGUGACAAGAAAUAACAAAGCAAGUCAGAAUUCUGAUUUUGCUAUUGGAAUGAGUAGAAUUUAAAUCCCUUUACGACUAUCAAUUGGAGGGCAAGUCUGGUGCCAGCAGCCGCGGUAAUUCCAGCUCCAAUAGCGUAUAUUAAAGUUGUUGCGGUUAAAAAGCUCGUAGUUGGAUUUCUGUCGAGGAUGGCCGGUCCGCACUUUGUGCGUGCAUCUGGUUCAGCCUUGGCAUCCUCCUGGGGAAUGUAUCUGCGCUUAAUUGCGUGGUGCGGUUAUCCAGGACUUUUACUUUGAGGAAAUUAGAGUGU